GUAGGUAUAGUUCAGUGGUAGAUCGCAUGCUUAGCAUUCACGAGGUCCUGGGUUCAAUCCUCAGUACCUUCA
rnacentral:tRNA from 1 species